rnacentral:rRNA from 1 species
GUAGGUGGCAAGCGUUGUCCGGAAUUAUUGGGCGUAAAGCGCGCGCAGGCGGUUCUUUAAGUCUGAUGUGAAAGCCCACGGCUCAACCGUGGAGGGUCAUUGGAAACUGGAGAACUUGGGUACAGAAGAGGAAAGCGGAAUUCCACGUGUAGCGGUGAAAUGCGUAGAGAUGUGGAGGAACACCAGUGGCGAAGGCGGCUUUCUGGUCUGUAACUGACGCUGAGGCGCGAAAGCGUGGGGAGCAAACAGGGAUUAGAUACCCUGGUAGUCCACGCCGUAAACGAUGAGUGCUAAGUGUUAGGGGGUUUCCCGCCCCCUUAGUGCUGCAGCUAACGCAUUAAGCACUCCGCCUGGGGAGUACGGCCGCAAGGCUG